GAGCUUGCCAAUCAAUUUUAUGCCUGAAAUUAUUCCUGGUGGAGCCUAUACCUAAGGUGGACCAUAUGCUGGAUGUUGUUUGGCAAAAUACCAUGAGGAUGUCGGAGCACUAAUACCCGUGGCGAACAUUUCUAGGAAUGCUGACAUGGAAAUUAUCUUCUAUACGGAAGUGUUCUCCAUUGGAGACUGACUCAGCAAAAUCAUGUACCAAGUCAUGAACAACAUAAUGAUCCUCUAGAUUGGCUGCCUUCCGAAUGAAUGAAACCUGUAGAAGAUC